rnacentral:rRNA from 1 species
AUCUCACCUUCGGGUGAGAUUAGCGGCGGACGGGUGAGUAACACGUAGGCAACCUGCCUGUAAGACUGGGAUAACUAUCGGAAACGAUAGCUAAGACCGGGUAAUUGGUUUGUUCGCAUGAACAAGACAUGAAACACGGAGCAAUCUGUGGCUUACAGAUGGGCCUGCGGCGCAUUAGCUAGUUGGUGAGGUAAUGGCUCACCAAGGCGACGAUGCGUAGCCGACCUGAGAGGGUGAUCGGCCACACUGGGACUGAGACACGGCCCAGACUCCUACGGGAGGCAGCAGUAGGGAAUCUUCCGCAAUGGACGCAAGUCUGACGGAGCAACGCCGCGUGAGUGAUGAAGGUUUUCGGAUCGUAAAGCUCUGUUGCCAGGGAAGAAUG